rnacentral:lncRNA from 1 species
UAUUAAAUAGUUGUCUCAUGUAGGAGAAAUUAAACCACACAUGGAAUAUAUAGGCUUAAUUCGGACAGUAGCUGAAUCUGCAAUUACAUGCUUGCUAAUUUUAUUAUGCUCGAGAUUACUUCUGUUACACAUAGUUCCAAUGCUUAAUGCAGAAUUACGGUUUGGAAUGUCAGUCUUAAAUUUAGGAGGCCGUUCAUGAAGAAUAUUACGCUUAUCUCCAUAAGAGGGGCUCACGCAAAUCUUCAAAACUAUGAGUAUUAAAUUUAAGAGGAUGUUCAUGAAGAAUAUUACGCAUUUCCAUAAGAAGGGCUCACGCAAAUCUUCAAAACUAUGGCUUUGGACACAUGCACGAUGC